rnacentral:pre_miRNA from 1 species
UACUCCCUCCGUCACUGAAAGCUGUAAUUUCUAGAGUUGUCCUAAGUCAAACUUUUACAACUUUGAUCAAAUUUAUAGAAAAAAAUGCUAAGAUUUAUAGUACCAAAAUAAUACCAUUAAAUUUAUUAUAGAAUAUAUUUUUAAAAUAUACUUAUUUUAUGUCAUAGAUAUUGAUACUCUUUUUUAUAAAAUUAGUCAAAGUUAAAAAAAUUUGACUGACACGGAUUCUAGGAGUUGAAGCUUUCGGAGACGGAGGGAGUA